GAAAGAGCAAGCAAUCAGGCUCUGGGACUAGCUGCAGGAAAAAAUAUUUAUCUUGGCACGAGGGGAAACACGAAGGAGGCACAGUGUUCCCAGAACCCAGCAAGGGCUUACAACUGGGAAGGGGACUUCCCAGGAGGAGGACACAGUAGCAGUCUCUUUCUUCUCAACGCCCACAAGGGCUGAGGCUGCCAUGUGAAAAGAAGAAAUGACAAUGUACACAUGUAAGGAAUCUGUGCAAUACCACAGGCAUUGGAGACACAGUACCGGAAACAAGCUUGAAGAAUUUCCAACCCAUUGCUAACUUACUCUUCAAGUGAAUGUGUGUAGUGAGCCCAGCAGUGCGUUUCAGCCCCAAUGUCUUCUGCCUUCCCCUAGUGGAACUGGAACCAUCAGCUUUGUAUUAAGACAUGUUACAUGGUCUACAAAACUGACUUGGAACGAGGCAACAUCACUUGGGAUUCUGUUUUGGGAACAAAAGUGAGAAGGUCAAAAGAAAAAGCUAGACUCUGGCAGAUCUACAAAGAAAGUUGACUGAGGGGAGUGACAGUCCAGGACAGCACAGGAUAUCAGGAUAUCAUCAACUACCAGAUUCAGAAGGAGAAAAUUCUUGGUGGUGGACCUCAGUAAGACAAAGUCCCUCUCAUGAUAUAUCUAUGCUGCUUUAAGCAAGGUUUGGUAUUUUUUGCAUGAGUAUUUAAGGCAGGACAAGGUAACACAGAUUGACGCUGCCAUUCAAAGAGAAGAGACUAAUAAUAUUUAUGUGAAAGUGGGAUGGGGUUGAUUACAAUGGAAAGGUAUGACUAGUCAGAUGCCCAUUAAUAUUAUCUCCUAAAUAUUAAAUAUGGGGAGGCCUUCCAAGGGGUCUGCAGUGUUACACAAUGCUCCUGUUGCACACCCUGCACCUUGUUCAUGUCCUCUGAGGCUACUGGCAUCUGAGGUAUAGAAGAAUAUGAAGCUAAGAAAAAUACGACCAGAAUUUAAUCACUAAAACAAUCAGCUUCACCUUUGGUCAUGGCCUAGGACUACUCGCUUGAGUUUGUUCCGCUAUUUUGUAAAGUUUUCCCUGUGUCACUUGGGAGCAUUGAAGAGAACAGUGUCCCCACAUAGUGUUAGAUGAUGGGUCCCUGGCAGUACUCACUGUCAGGAAUGAAGAGUAUCACACCUUCACACCAUUAUGGCAUGCCUGUGGAUGGCAGGAACAAUGAAGGAGAAAGAAAGAUCACUAGACUGAUUUCAGGACCUCAGGACUUGCACCCAUGGGGGUUCCAAUUCAUGAUAGUGGACCAAGAGAGCAUUCUGAUAGUCGCUUUUCCUUAAAGUUGUAUCUGGGUGCUCAAUCUGAGCAGGUUAAAUAAUUGCGGCAAUAGCUUUAAAGCAUCUUGGAAAAUCCUGAUGAGAGAUGGUUGAGUAGAAUUGGAAAGGGACAAAAAUAUCAUACAAAGGUGAAAAAAGAAUUCCUCAUGCAAAGACCAUGAUAUUGCCUCUUUCCCUAAUGUGUAAGAUGGUGAUCCAAAUGCAC
rnacentral:lncRNA from 1 species